rnacentral:rRNA from 1 species
UACGUAGGGUCCGAGCGUUGUCCGGAAUUACUGGGCGUAAAGAGCUCGUAGGUGGUUUGUCGCGUUGUUCGUGAAAACUCACAGCUUAACUGUGGGCGUGCGGGCGAUACGGGCAGACUUGAGUACUGCAGGGGAGACUGGAAUUCCUGGUGUAGCGGUGGAAUGCGCAGAUAUCAGGAGGAACACCGGUGGCGAAGGCGGGUCUCUGGGCAGUAACUGACGCUGGAGGAGCGAAAGCCGUUGGGGAGCGAACAGG